GCAAAGGAGACAGGGAAGGGUAAACAGGCAGAAGGCAACCCGCCUGCACCCCUGCUAGCAAGGCGGGACGCCGGGGUCUUUAUUUACCCUGCUUCAGGGUGCUGCAAUACAGACGCGCAUUUCCGAGGGGAUGGGGAUGUAAAUAAAGCUUCUCUUCAGCUUUAUUUACUGAAGCAAUCACAGGUUUGGCGGCUACCCCAGCACCAGCCCACCCCACACGGAUCAUUCCUGUGGCAGCUGAAGGACAUAGCUGUCUGUGCUUCUCUGCAGGGAAGGAGAUCCAGAGCCACCCUCCCAGCAAACCCUGUAUUCACUGCUAACCCCUGACAAGGCUGGCAGCACCCACGGAUGUCUGAACCCUCAGCAGCAAGGUGUGGUGCAACAGCACAAGGCGUCUGGACCCCCCAGCUCCCCACCACAGGUAGAGGUUCUGAUGUCACCCACCCAGGCAGCUGGGACCUGUGCAAACACUGCACCCAACACCAACAGCCCCUCAAACAUCAGCCCUGCCCUAACAGACACCUUCCCUCUGGCUCCCAGCCCUGCUGCUUGCCUCCAGGCUGCCGUACACCACGGGUGACAGGAAUGGCACCUCGGUGGUGUACUGGGGAGAAUGGGACCAAGACAGUCCCAGCCCAACGCGUGCAGGCUGGGCUAGGGCACUGGGAGGCAGGAUUGCUCCAUGGCCUUUCCCAAACAUGCCUUCCCUGCCCCAGAGCCCUGCAGGCUCCUGUCUGGACUUUGUGCAGGACAAAGUCCCUGUGGACUUUGGUUACAAGAAGGUUACAAGAAGAGGAUGCAGCAGGGCUGUGAGGAAGCAGCAGCCAUGUGUCCCUCUAAAAGUCUGCUGGAAAUGCAAAAGAGAGAAGAAACAGAAUGCUCUAAUUUCCCCAGGAAAGGCAGCCUGAGAGGUCCCAUCUUACCAUCCAGGAUCUGUCCCAGCAACAGGAGACUGAGGCAGAGAAGAUACAGCCGCUGCAUUUUGCUGCUAAGUCUGGCAGAGGAUGGGCUGGAGGCAAUGGAGCUCCAGGCAGGAGAGAGUCUCCCUGGCUGUUUGCUGAAGCCUAGCUUUCCCCUGCCCUCCCCAGUGCCGGCAUGGGGGCACAGCCAAAGCUGGCAGAGAGAGGAGAGCCCAGUCAGCGCGCUCCACUCCAGGACCAAGAUCUCGCAGGCCAAAAGACAACCUGAUUUCCAGGUGUCCCAGAAAAUGGUUGUUGGCCAAAGGCAGCUACAGAGCUUCCUGUAAACAGGUUUUCUCCGUGCAAGAGCAGAAAUUCCCCACGGAGGCUGUGCGCACAGCGCAGGGUGCCAGCAUCUCACCCGCUGCGUGGGCACUGCCGAGAGCGAGGACCAGCGCUCCCGCUUCGAAUCUUCACAGGAGCACAGGGACGGGGGCUGCUUCUCCUUGGUAUGGUGACUCACCAGCGUGCCAGUGCCAGUGCCACCUGCAGUGAUGUCCCUUAAACCAGGCUGCUUCAGUCCCUUGUGGGAAGCAGAGAUCACCGGGGCUGUGCAGCCCAGGGAAGGAAUGGUGGAAGGCUCACUGCUGUCAGCAUCUCCUUGUAGGGAGUUGGAGAUGCCAGGCUCAGGGUCUUCUCUGAGGGGCCCAGGGGCAGGACAAAUGUAAAGGCAUCAGAUGCACCCACAUAAAUUCCCACUGACAAAAGGAAAAAUAUUUUGCAGCAGGGGCGAACAAGCCCUGCAGCAGAGUCUCUAUGCCUGCAGUUUUACCCUUGUUCCAGCUUUGGACUGUCGGUGCAUCAAAGGGGAGAGCAGUGUACAGACCCCCUUCCACCUUGGCACAAGGCACACAGCUGGGACCCAGGCACUUCAGUGAGUCCCUCAUGCUCCUCUCAACAGUAGGAGAGGCUCUGUCCCUUCCCCACUCCAUGCUAAGAAGCAAGAGGAGACUCCAGCCAUGCCACCAGACAUGGUGCUGCAUUCCAGCACUGGCACUGUCACCAGCCUCGUAUGUGGGGUGAUCUGCUCCAUUAGGAAAGCAUUGCCUCUGGCUGCUCCCAUGCCCAGCAAGCCAGCACUGUGGAGAAGGAAGCAGGUGGGGGCUGGUGGGCAGGAGGAGUAGCACAAACAGGAUGUACCAGGUUAACUUCAGUCAGCACCUGCUGACACUCCCAGCCAGCAGAAGUCGAGUUUAGGUGGAGGAGGAUUAGUGCCAUCAGCCCCCGGCUCCCCGCAGGUUUGGGGAUGUAGGAUGGAUCUGCAACCAAAUCUUUCCACCUAAUCUCCUCAGGACACUGCCAGAGAGAUGUCACAGCAGGAAAAAUGACAGCUCCUGGUAGCUGGUGGCCAGAACUGCUCCCAGCCCAGAGCCAGCUCCUCGCUGGGGGUUGGUCUGACAGUGUGGAGCCCUCUGCAAAGAGUGGGUCCCAAAAGCAGUGCCCUGACCCACUGCAAGUGUGGAGGGUGCUGGGGGGCUGCCCAGCAACAAACCCUCACCUCCUUGCAUGUUCAGUGUGUUUGACAGAUCUUGGAACUGAGGGCUGGCAAGGGGUGCUGGGACUCCUGUGCUGUGGGAUUUCCUCCAGGCACUGCUGGAUCCUGCACCCCAUGGCAAGCAGGGGUGUCCCCAGCUGCCCCUUCCCUGGCACAAGGCUCUCCCACCUGCUGCUGGCUCCCCACUGGCUCUACACCAAGAGAAGCAUGCUGAAUUGGGAAUAUAUCCAUCUGGGACUAAACUUCUUAGCCACCUCUGGCUGCUGGGGACCCCCAUCCCUUGAGCUGCCCACAGCCCUGCCAACAGCAUGGGCAGGAAAGGGAGGUUGUUCUUCCUCCUGACAGUUGUCAGGGAGCCCAGUGGGUCAAAGUACAGCAGCUUCACAUGCCUCUGCUCCCCAGGAAGAACACCAGAGUGAGGAAAGGGGCUUUCCACUUGCAUUGUGAAAGGGGAAUGUGGUGGGUUUCCCCCCUCUUACUGGGGUCAAUAAAAUUUCUAAGAAAA